rnacentral:rRNA from 1 species
CAGUCGAGCGGAACGAGUUAUCUGAACCUUCGGGGAACGAUAACGGCGUCGAGCGGCGGACGGGUGAGUAAUGCCUAGGAAAUUGCCCUGAUGUGGGGGAUAACCAUUGGAAACGAUGGCUAAUACCGCAUAAUACCUACGGGUCAAAGAGGGGGACCUUCGGGCCUCUCGCGUCAGGAUAUGCCUAGGUGGGAUUAGCUAGUUGGUGAGGUAAUGGCUCACCAAGGCGACGAUCCCUAGCUGGUCUGAGAGGAUGAUCAGCCACACUGGAACUGAGACACGGUCCAGACUCCUACGGGAGGCAGCAGUGGGGAAUAUUGCACAAUGGGCGCAAGCCUGAUGCAGCCAUGCCGCGUGUGUGAAGAAGGCCUUCGGGUUGUAAAGCACUUUCAGUCGUGAGGAAGGUAGUGUAGUUAAUAGCUGCAUUAUUUGACGUUAGCGACAGAAGAAGCACCGGCUAACUCCGUGCCAG